CACGUAUUCUUACCGCAACUAGAGUGUUCAGUGAUAACGUAUUCUGUGUUUAAUUUACUCCUUCAACGAUAAUGUACCAAUGGUACAC